rnacentral:tRNA from 1 species
GCCUCCAUAGCUCAGAGAAUUAGCAGAAGUAACGGGUGUCGUACGCACCGCACGUUAUCAAGUAUUGGCUUGGCUAAUCAGCUAAGAGCGCAUGCCUGAUAAGCAUGAGGUCGGCGGUUGGAAUCCGUCUGGAGGCA